rnacentral:lncRNA from 1 species
AGUAUAUGGAUACUGACAUCACCAAAACAGUUUAAGGGAUUUGUUCCAUGUUAGAGGAAUAGCCUAGACGUUCUGAAGGUGUACAGACUUCUGAAGCUUGGAAACACAAAGCUUGGUGCUACAGCCAGACCCUGCUGAGACAUCGAAGAACUUCAAGGUUUUCUCAUAAGUGCACUUUGUAAUGUUAUGUUUCAGACCAUUAACACCAGAAGGCUUCACAUACGGCACAGUCACGUUGCCCAGAAGGACAGCCAAGCGUCCCUCAUACAUGGACUUUCUAACCAUACUGCUGAGUUUGUCUCCCAAUCCCUUGGAUAAAUUGAACUGUUCAGGUCCCAAGGAAUCUCUCUGCAGAAGAGCUGGCAUGGAAAGAUUUAGCAGCUAUUUAUGAUGCCGGAGAAGAAGGAUUCUUUUUUCCAAGAAUCAUUGCUAGAUACUGGUGGAAGCAAACAAAAUCAAGCAGGCCACUUGGAAAUCAAAGCACAUUUUAAAAUGAAGGAUUUGUUUUUAUCCUUACCAGGAGUAAAAGCUGGAAUGAACCUGGGCCCGCUGUUACCAUGUAAGUGUCUGAAAUGAAAU